rnacentral:misc_RNA from 1 species
GAUGAAGAACGUAGCGAAAUGCGAUAAGUAAUGUGAAUUGCAGAAUUCAGUGAAUCAUCGAAUCUUUGAACGCACAUUGCGCCCGCCAGUAUUCUGGCGGGCAUGCCUGUUCGAGCGUCAUUUCAACCAUCGAGCCCCCGGCUUGUGUUGGGGACCUGCGGCUGCCGCAGGCCCUGAAAACCAGUGGCGGGCUCGCUAGUCACUCCGAGCGUAGUAAUACAUCUCGCUCAGGGCGUGCUGCGGGUUCCGGCCGUUAAAAAGCCUUAUUUACCCAAGGUUGACCUCGGAUCAGGUAGGAAGACCCGCUGAACUUAAGCAUAUCAAUAAGCGGAGGA